AGAGUUUGAUCCUGGCUCAGAUUGAACGCUGGCGGCAUGCCUUACACAUGCAGUCGAACGGUAACAGGGAGCUUGCUCCGCUGACGAGUGGCGAACGGGUGAGUAUAUAUCGGAACGUGCCUGAUAGUGGGGGACAACUAGUCGAAAGAUUAGCUAAUACCGCAUACGCCCUACGGGGGAAAGGGGGGGACUCGCAAGAGCCUCUCGCUAUCAGAGCGGCCGAUAUCUGAUUAGUAGUUGGUGAGGUAAAGGCUCACCAAGGCUUCGAUCAGAGCUGUCUGAGAGGACGACCAGCCACACUGGGACUGAGAACGGCCAGAUCCUACGGGAGGAGCUUGGGGAAUUUUGGAAAUGGGCGAAGCCUGU
rnacentral:rRNA from 1 species